UACGGAGGGUGCAAGCGUUACUCGGAAUCACUGGGCGUAAAGGGCGCGUAGGCGGCCUAGCAAGUCUGGUGUGAAAGCCCAGGGCUCAACCCUGGAAGGGCACUGGAAACUGUUAGGCUUGAGUUCCGGAGAGGAGGGGGGAAGUCCCGGUGUAGCGGUGAAAUGCGUAGAUAUCGGGAGGAAUACCGGUGGCGAAGGCGCCUCUCUGGACGGAAACAGACGCUGAGGCGCGAAAGCGUGGGGAGCAAACAGG
rnacentral:rRNA from 1 species